rnacentral:rRNA from 1 species
UACGGAGGAUGCGAGCGUUAUCCGGAUUUAUUGGGUUUAAAGGGUGCGCAGGCGGAUUUUUAAAGUCAGCGGUCAAAUCGUGGGGCUCAACCCAUCCAGCCGUUGAAACUGGGGGAUCUAGAGUGUGCGAGAGGUAUGCGGAAUGCGUGGGUGUAGCGGUGAAAUGCAUAGAUAUCACGCAGAACCCCGAUUGCGAAGGCAGCAUACCGGUGCACAACUGACGCUCAGGCACGAAAGCGUGGGUAGUCGAACAGG